UACGUAGGCAGCGAGCGUUGUUCGGAGUUACUGGGCGUAAAGCGUGCGUAGGCGGUGGUCCAAGUCUGGUGUGAAAUCUCCCGGCUCAACUGGGAGGGUGCGCCGGAAACUGGGCCGCUGGAGUAUGGGAGAGGCAAGCGGAAUUCCAGGUGUAGCGGUGAAAUGCGUAGAUAUCUGGAGGAACACCCGUGGUGCAGACGGCUUGCUGGACCAUCACUGACGCUGAGGCACGAAAGCGUGGGUAGCAAACAGGAUUAGAUACCCUGGUAGUCCACGCCCUAAACGAUGCAUACCUGGUGUGGGCAGUUCAGUCUGUCCGUGCCGAAGUUAACGCGAUAAGUAUGCCGCCUGGGGAGUACGGUCGCAAGGCUGAA
rnacentral:rRNA from 1 species